ensembl:lncRNA
CCUGAACCUGAACCUGAACCUGAACCUGAUCCUGAUCCUGAUCCUGAACCUGGUCCUGGUCCUGAUCCUGAACCUGAUCCUGAUCCUGAACCUGAUCCUGAUCCUGAUCCUGAUCCUGAUCCUGAUCCUGAUCCUGAUCCUGAACCUGAUCCUGAUCCUGAUCCUGAUCCUGAUCCUGAACCUGAACCUGAUCCUGAUCCUGAUCCUGAUCCUGAACCUGAUCCUGAUCCUGAUCCUGAUCCUGAUCCUGAACCUGAACCUGAACCUGAUCCUGAUCCUGAUCCUGAUCUUCAGCAGGUUCUAGCGUUUCUCUCUGAGUGUUUCUGGAUCAUCAUGGAGCCUCAUCUGGCUCAGAGUGGAUCUCUGGAGGUUCCCCGGAGGUUUCAGGCUGCAGAUGACGUCUCUUCAGCUGUUAUUUCAUGUGUUGUGUAACUUUGUCUCGUUUGUCCUCACUGAGGUUCAUUUUAAAGUUCUGCAGCUCUGAGGAACCAGAACAUCAUGAAGAACAACCAUGGAGACGUCUUCUGAAAGCAGGACUCAGACAGAAUGAUG